GGGGUUAUGGCUCAAUGGUGGAGUGCUUUCCUAGCAUGUGUGAGGCACUGGGUUCAAUUCUCAGUACCACA
rnacentral:tRNA from 1 species